AUUGAACGCUAGCGGGAUGCUUUACACAUGCAAGUCGAACGAGUGGCGGACGGGUGAGUAAUAUAUCGGAACGUGCCCAGUAGCGGGGGAUAAAUACUCGAAAGAGUGGCUAAUCCCGCAUACUAUGUGCGCGGCCGAUAUCGGAUUAGCUAGUUGGUGGGGUAAAGGCUCACCAGGGCAACGAUCCGUAGCUGGUUUGAGAGGACGACCAGCCAAACUGGAACUGAGACACGGCCGAGAACCUGACGGGAGGCAGCAGUGGGUAACUUUGGACAAUGUGGGAAACCCUGAUCCAGCCAUCCCGCGUGUAUGAGAAGGCCUUCGGGUUGUAAAGUACUUUUGGCAGAGAAGCGGUAUCUGCAGAAGAAGCACCGGCUAACUACGUGCCAGCAGCCGCGGUAAUAC
rnacentral:rRNA from 1 species